rnacentral:rRNA from 1 species
GAUUAACGCUGGCGGCGUGCAUAACACAUGCAAGUCGAACGAUGAAACUCAUUAGAUUUCUUCGGAAUGAAAAUGAAUGGAUUAGUGGCGAACGGGUGAGUAACGCGUGAGUAACCUGCCUUACACAAGGGGAUAGCCUCUGGAAACGGAGAAUAAUACCCUAUGAAACCAGACAAUCGCAUGAUAAUCUGGUCAAAAUGUUUAGUGGUGUAAGAUGGACUUGCGUCUGAUUAGCUAGUUGGUGAGAUAAAAGCUCACCAAGGCAACGAUCAGUAGCCGGCUUGAGAGAGUGUACGGCCACAUUGGGACUGAGACACGGCCCAGACUCCUACGGGAGGCAGCAGUGGGGAAUUUGGCACAAUGGGGGAAACCCUGAUGCAGCGACGCCGCGUGAUUUAGAAGGCCUUCGGGUUGUAAAAAUCUUUUGUAUAGGAAGAAAAUGACAGUACUAUACGAAUAAGGUCCGGCUAAUUACGUG